UACAGAGGUCUCGAGCGUUAGGCGGAAUCACUGGGCUUAAAGCGUGUGUAGGCGGAUCGGUAAGUACCUUGUGAAAUCCCACAGCUUAACUGUGGAACUGCUUGGUAUACUGCCAGUCUUGAGCCAGCUAGGGGCUACCGGAACAAAUGGUGGAGCGAUGAAAUGCGUAGAUAUCAUUUGGAACGCCAAUGGUGAAAACAGGUAGCUGGGGCUGUGCUGACGCUGAGACACGAAAGCCAGGGGAGCGAACAGG
rnacentral:rRNA from 1 species